UACGAAGGGGGCUAGCGUUGUUCGGAAUUACUGGGCGUAAAGCGCGCGCAGGCGGUCUUCCAAGUCAGUGGUGAAAGCCUGGAGCUCAACUCCAGAACUGCCAUUGAAACUGUUAGACUUGAGUACGAGAGAGGUGAGUGGAAUUCCCAGUGUAGAGGUGAAAUUCGUAGAUAUUCGCAAGAACACCAGUGGCGAAGGCGGCUCACUGGCCCGGUACUGACGCUGAGGUGCGAAAGCGUGGGGAGCAAACAGGG
rnacentral:rRNA from 1 species